GAUUAUACUUGCCCAACUCUAAAGACACACAGUCUGAACUAAUCCUGGAAGCCAAGUAGGGUCAGACCUGGUUAGUACUUGGAUGGGAGUUCUCCAGUGAAUGCCAGGUGCUGUAUGCU
rnacentral:rRNA from 1 species